GGUGAGGUAGCCAAGAUGGUCAAGGCACUUGUCUGAAGAACAAGCUAUCUCAGUUCGAGUCUGAGCCUCACCACCA
rnacentral:tRNA from 4 species